ensembl:lncRNA
UCUCAGCAAAAUUUCAGGAAGCUCCAUUUCACUCUAACUGAAGUUGCCCUGAUGUGUUUGUUACUGUGGGCAUACAUGUUUCUGUUUUCAUAGCAGCUGAGGAAGACACCUCUUGGGGAAACUGCCAUGGCUUUUGACUUCUAACCUACCAAUCCAUUAGAUUCCUAAAGAAGAUUAAAGAGAUGAUAAAGAUUGAUUUGGGGGGGAAAAAAGAGAAAAAUUUCAUUGUAAGGGUUGACUUCUACAGUAUUCACAUCACAGGGGAGUAUCAGCUUAGAUGUCUGUUGUGCCAUGACGCUUGCGCCAAAGGGCAGGGGUUAUUUGUACUCUGUAGGUGUCGUGUGUUGAAGCCUCAGAGUGAUGCCCUCAAGAAGCAAUCAUGGGAUUAAACUCACCUCCAUGCAUAUUCUGAGAGCUACAAAUGCACAGUAUGAAGGCAGAAAGCAUCUAUCUUUUCUUCUGCAAGCCUGAGAAGACUCUUUUCUAAUGCCUCCAAAAUAUCUCAGCAGUACAAUACUUCAAAGUCAUCUUUUCUUGCCUCAAAUGACUCAGCAAAGGAGAAUUUUAUCAUUUUAUUAAAAAAUGGAUAGCAAAGGGGAUUGUAAAUAUAGAUGAGCUUGAGAUGAGGUGUGAGAAUCUGCUUGAGAUUUGAUUAUCACUCCAUAAUGAAUGUUUCCAGUGUUAAGAUUUUUCAUCCGUCUCAACACCUAAUGUGGGAGAAACAGCUAUGAUGUCUUGAGCAGUCCCCUGGAGAGAGCCAAGUGGUGAAUUGCAACCUCCUGCCAGCACUGGGCACCAUCUAGGCAGCCAUGGGUGUAAGCUGUAUUGGAAGUGACUCUUCCAGAUGGUUAUUAUUUUCUCCUUUAAUGUUUAAAGGAAUUCACCAGUGUAGCAGAUUGGAUUCUCUGCAACAACUGCUGAGAUGGAAUUUGAGGAUGAAAGAUGGUUAUUAUGAAUUAACAUCUGUGGAGGGAGACACAGACAGGAUUCAACUCAACUCCAAGUUACUGUGGAGCAAGCAAUGCCCAUUAGGUUUCAGUUGUUUUCAACAGAAGGGCGGGUCCAAGACCAACUCCUCCAUCAGGCAGACCAGAAGAGUUUAAAAAUUUUGGAAGUACAAAAGGCAGCAAGAAACCCAGACCACAGCUUGGAAUGUUUGGCUGUAGACCCUUUCUCAGUUCUGGAGGCUACAAGUUCUACAUCAACGUAGUAGAUUGUUCACCAGUGGCUGUCUUCUGGCUCUGUCCUCACAUAGCAGAAUGGGUACUGGGGAUUGAACUUGGGACCUUGCACUUGCGUGGCAGGCAGCAGAACCACUGAGCUAAAUCUCCAGCCCAAUGUAACCCAGGCUGGAUUGAACUUUCAACUAUCCUCUUGCUUCAGUCUCCCAAAUGCUGGGAUUACUG